AGGCCCAAAAGCUGCAGCAUAGACAAUAUCAUAGUGUAGAAGGUUCACUAGACCGUGAUCAUGGGCUACAUUCUCCGUACCAGCUUCAUAGCUCCAGUGAGAAAAUAAAUUCCUGCAUCCAGGAGAUGUGGAGUAAGAGAUACAGCUGCCCUUGACCAUAUUUCUUACUUCCGAGAAGAUCGUAGCAGUAAUUCAGAAUCUCAUCCAGGAUACCUCAUCACAGGCUGGAGUGCAGUGUCAUGAGCUUGGCUCACUACAGCCUCCAUCUUCUGUGCUUAAGGAUCCUUCCCUCUCAACCUCCAAGGUAGCUGAGACUACAG
rnacentral:lncRNA from 10 species